AACGAACGCUGGCGGCGUGCCUAACACAUGCAAGUCGAGCGCGAAAGGAGCAAUCCGAGUAGAGCGGCGCACGGGUGCGUAACACGUGGAUAAUCUGCCUCAGGGUUGAGGAUAACCUUCCGAAAGGUUGGCUAAUACUCGGUAAGCUUACGGUGACUUCGGUCGCUGUGAGAAAACUAGACCUCUAUUUAUAAGUUUAGGCCCUGAGAUGAGUCCGCGGCCCAUCAGCUAGUUGGCGGGGUAACGGCCCACCAAGGCCACGACGGGUAGCUGGUCUGAGAGGACGAUCAGCCACACUGGAACUGAGACACGGUCCAGACUCCUACGGGAGGCAGCAGUGGGGAAUUUUCCACAAUGGGCGAAAGCCUGAUGGAGCAACGCCGCGUGUGUGAUGAAGGUCUUCGGAUCGUAAAGCACUUUCGACUGGGACGAAAAACCUUUGGCUAACAUCCAGGGGCCUGACGGUACCAGGAGAAGAAGCACCGGCUAACUCUGUGCCAGCCGCCGCAGUAAGAC
rnacentral:rRNA from 1 species